CACACAAGAUAUUCCAGAAUCUGGUUUGGAAUAGAUACAAACCUGUCUUUUUCCUUUUCCUCAGAUGCACGGGAGCCUGAAGGAGGAACAGGGAAUCUGAAGACUCCAGAUGACACGGGAGCUGGUUUUCAACAGCCUUCUCGAUUUCCUUGCUCAGAAAGUAGAUACAAACCUUGGAGCCAGAUGAACACUGAUAUUUGCAUUUAAUUGGACACAAGAUGAAGAAGGAGCAUACGUUCGCUAAGGAUUCUGUCUGCUUGCUUCUGUAGAUCUACGUAUUAAGGAGUUCUUCUUGCUUAGGAGUUGAUCUGCUCUGCGGUCGUACCGCUGUGGAGUUUGCCCACCAUUUAUCUUGUCUUUGCCAGAAGAAAUCCUGGUUGGAAUGAAACAGUGCAUCUCUGUCUGAUUACUAUGGAAGGUGAUAAACUGACGCUCACUUAUUAAAGUUACAUCUCACUCCCCCACAGAAAACCAUUCUUCAACGUGACUAGAAACCAAGCCCU
rnacentral:lncRNA from 1 species